ACGGUCUUCUGGAAGGAAGCAAUCCAGUUCCAUGAACAAAGACCCAAGUCUCUCAUGACUUCGUUGGAUCAUGCCAGCUGGCAGCCUCCUAAUUCUUGCAUACUUUGGACCUCCAUCUGCAAACCCUGUCCACCCUCCUCCCUCCAUCGCACCUUGUGGAUUACAAACUUUCCUGUCUUACCAUAUCCACCAACUUCAGUCUCACUGGCAAACAACCACUUGGUUUCUCCACUCCCCCUCUGGCGGAUCCCUCCACCAUUCUUUUUUGCAUCCUGGUUCCAGUUCCCUGCAUUAUUCACCCAGUUGUAAAUAAACGCUUUACCGAACAA